rnacentral:lncRNA from 1 species
CGCAAGGCCUGGUUGCGGUUCCCCUGGAGGACUUUGACCCUUACUAUUUGACGCAGAAAGAAGAGAAUCUCCCUCCCACAGCAACCUGCAGCUGCCUACCGGAUGGCAUAGUGGAAAAGGCAAUGUCUUAGUUAUGGUUUCAUGGCUGUGAAGAGACGCCAUGACCACAGCAGCACUUGUAAAGGAAACCAUUUCAUUGGGGCCGGCUUACAGUUUGAGAGGUUCAGUCCGUUAUCAUCAUGGCGGGAAGCAUGGCUGCAUCCAGGCAGGCCUUGUGCUGGGGAAGGAGCUGGGAGUUCAGCAUCUGAGACUCAAAGCAAGUCCCUAGUGACACACUUCCUCCAAUGAGGCCACGCCUCCCAAUAGUGCUACUCCAUAUGAGCCUCGGGGGGACCAUUUUCUUUCGGACCAUCACAAGCACCUAAUUGGGAAUUAAAACCUUGGUUUUACUUUUACAUUUUCUUGUUGAUUUUGCUCCUAGCCCAAUAAAAUGCCCUGGGCCCUC